rnacentral:rRNA from 1 species
UGUGGCGGUUUAGGUGGAAGCAGCGGUGGAGGAGGAGGAUGAGGUAGCCAACACUGUAUAUAUAUAUAUAUUUAUAUAUAUAUAUAUAUAUAUUUAUUUUUAAUUGGGAUAGCCCCCAAAAUAUUGAGAAAUAUAAAAAAAGACAACUCUGUUCCGCAGAUUAGCUGUUGACAUUAUAGUUUCACAGGCACUUUGUUGACUCUAGAGAACGUCACGCCAAUCGCACAUCCCUGUGACGGCGACUUUGCAUUUGGAUAUCAUCCAUUUCAACGUUCGAUGCAAGUUUCUGCGCCUACUAUGGUGACCACGGGUAACGGGGAAUCAGGGUUCCAUUCCGUACAGCGACCCUGAGAAACGGCUACCACAUGCGAAGAAGGCAGCAGGUGCACAAAUGACCCACUCCCGACACGGGAAGGUAGUGACGACA